UAACGCGUGGGCAACCUGCCUCAUACAGGGGGAUAGCAUCGGGAAACUGGUGGUAAAACCGCAUAAGCGCACGAAGACGCAUGUAUCCGUGUGAAAAGGAGAAAUCUGGUAUGAGAUGGACCCGCGUCUGAUUAGCUAGUUGGAGUGGUAAAAGCACACCAAGGCGACGAUCAGUAGCCGGCCUGAGAGGGUGGACGGCCACAUUGGGACUGAGACACGGCCCAGACUCCUACGGAAGGCAGCAG
rnacentral:rRNA from 1 species